rnacentral:rRNA from 1 species
UACGUAGGGGGCAAGCGUUGUCCGGAAUCAUUGGGCGUAAAGAGCGUGUAGGCGGCUCGGUAAGUCCGCUGUGAAAGUCCAGGGCUCAACCCUGGAAUGCCGGUGGAAACUGUCGGGCUAGAGUCCGGAAGAGGCGAGUGGAAUUCCUGGUGUAGCGGUGAAAUGCGCAGAUAUCAGGAGGAACACCAAUGGCGAAGGCAGCUCGCUGGGACGGUACUGACGCUGAGGAGCGAAAGCAUGGGGAGCGAACAGG